GGAUCGUAAGACCUUGCGUUAUUGGAGCGGCCUAGGUCUGAUUAGCUAGUUGGUGAGGUAAAGGCUCACCAAGGCGACGAUCAGUAGCUGGUCUGAGAGGAUGAUCAGCCACACUGGAACUGAGACACGGUCCAGACUCCUACGGGAGGCAGCAGUGGGAAUUUUGGACAAUGGGGGCAACCCUGAUCCAGCCAUUCCGCGUGAGUGAAGAAGGCCUUCGGGUUGUAAAGCUCUUUCAGGAGGGAAGAAACGGUUGCGGAUAAUACCCGCGACUAAUGACGGUACCUUCAGAAGAAGCACCGGCUAACUACGUGCCAGCAGCCGCGGUAAUACGUAGGGUGCGAGCGUUAAUCGGAAUUACUGGGCGUAAAGGGUACGCAG
rnacentral:rRNA from 1 species